AACGGUACCGUCAUCCCUGAAAGCUGUUCACAAUCAGGUCUUCGUCCCGUUCGACAGAGCUUUACACCCCGAAAGGCGUCGUCACUCACGCGGCGUUGCUGCGUCAGGCUUUCGCCCAUUGCGCAAAAUUCCC
rnacentral:rRNA from 1 species